ensembl:lncRNA
CCAGAGUGGUUUGGGACGCAGCCGGAGUUCCUGCACUCAUCCCCGGGCUCCCCCUCCUCAAGCAGCCGGAAGUGGGAUGUGAUGUGAAAAAAUCACACUCAACUUUUUCCUUUUUUUCCCUUCCGUGUGCAUUGUAACACGGCGAGAGGAAAAAGGAAAAAAAAAAACACGGUUUCGAUCCGAUACAAUGGUUCUGGAAGCGACACGGGUCCGGUAGUGUGGUGUACUCGGUGCUGUUUGUUGGAGAAAAGGCUCUGUGUGGGAAAGCCGGGACUUUAGGAGCAGAUUUGUGUGUAUUAACUCCUCUGGACCCUCAAAGCAAAUGUUUGGACAAGUUACAUUUCUGCACAGAGGGAGUGUGUGUGUGUGUAGAUGACACGUUCCUGCAUGUAUUAAGACUCCCUCCCUGCUGGCUGGAAUUUGGGUCGCUCAGUCUCAGCUAUGAGUGAUAUAAGUGCUAGGCGUGUGUGUGUGUGUGUGUGUGUGUGUGUGUGUGUGUGUGUGUGUGUGUGAGUGAGUGAGAGAUGACUAUCUCUAGCAGAUCUGCAUUUAGUAUGGCACUUAGCUGAACUGGUUGGUAUUUUGAAAGUGCUGUUAUUGCCCUUGUUGCCCUUAUCACAGUCACACAGUUCUCAGUGUUUUGCAGGUCAGAAUCCGGGGUUAGGUCUGACGUGAGGGACGGUGGACAGGGAGCCGAGCGAAGUCUGACAUCAGGAGAAACGUCCAGAUAUUCCUGACGUAAAGGAGAAACCUGCGUGAUGAUCUGAUAUCUCCUCACAUCCUGAGAUAAAAUUGCUCCAGAGCAGAAAUCCUGAAUGGAGAGAUUAUUAUCUAACAUCUAGAGGACCAUCACAUUAGCAUUGUUUGUGAGAUCGUGAGCGUGGUUUAGAUUCUGGAGGCCACGUGGGAGUUUAGUUCAGAG